AAACAAUCUUUUAUUUCAACUAAUAAUUAGUACAAAAGCAAAAAAUCAGUUGAAAGUAACAUACACGAAUAAGGUAAUUACCCAAAAUACCAACCUAACACCAAUGACUUCCCAGACCAUAUGUACAUCCCUUCCAAAAUACUCAUGUCUCACAGAUGAAAAGAAACUGAAAUUUUCCCAUGCCUCAUUGCAUAUGAUGAUACCAGCACUCAUUCAACACUAUCUAUAUAUUUACUGCUAAACUCAGUGAAACAAGCAAAACUUAACUACUAUUAUUAGAUGUUGUGGAACUGCUAGUCCAUUGCGUCAUGACUGUAUCUGGAGAACGUG
rnacentral:misc_RNA from 1 species